UAUAUUUAUAUUUUCUACCACAUCACUCAAUAAUACAUAAAAUACAUGUUUAUACGUAUACAAAUACAUAUAAUAUAUAUACACAAAUACAUAGAAUGAUUAAAACAGUACAUUGAUUCUAAACUUAACCCUACAUGUAAUAUGGAUGCGAGAUGUCUAGAAUUGUCAAAUCAUUUGCACACAAUAAUAAAGACAAUAAUAUACAUUGCUUCCAAGUUUCACCAGGAACAAAAUCAAACUCAAACAAAACCAACACUCAAUACGAAAAUUAAUACAACACUCAAUGCUAAAAUUAAUACUUACAAUGAUAAGAUCUUUUGUGAGUUAUGGAUGAUCAAUAGAAAAGCACCAUAGAUUCAAUGUAAAACAUCAACACCCAUUCUCCUUGGUUUUCCUUGUCAACAUCUAGCAGCCAAACACAUACCUGCUCUUUUCUUGUUCAUAGAUCGUGGUUGUCAAGAUCAAAAAGAGGCCAACAGCCUUUUCUCCUUUCUUUCUUCUUCAUUUUAUGCCAAGAGAAACAAUGAUCUGAUGUUGUUGCUUUUGGCCAUUCAUCCUCCCUUUCGUGUUCAGUUACCGACGAUGAGAAAUGAGCAUCCAAGGGAAGCCACCGAAGUAGCCUCCCUCGCCACUAUAGACAACGGCGACAACCUAGUUGCCGCCUUCGUGUCCUUAUGCUACGUCGAUUUGCUGCCGGAGACGAGGUCACUGAGACCAGGAGGAUCACCCCUCUCGAAUGGCUUAUUUCCCUCGACGAAUCUGGCCACAAUCGGACCAAAAUACCCCCGCACACCAAAUGUUGUUCCAGUUCCGAUCAACACCUCCAUUCUCCCUUUGUGUUACCUGCCAAAAUCAGAAGAGAAAAGGUGACGUGGAACAGCCGGAGCCGCCCCUCGCCACCAUUACUGUCGACCACAGCCACCAUCGACUGCCUUCACUCUUUUCCUGCCUCUCCCGUCGACCUUGAUGCUGUUUUCUUGGCUCACUACAGGCGGAGAUGAAUUCGUACCAAAUGAGGAUCGCCGGAGUUCAAUUCCCUCUCCCCUCCUCGCGAUCUUUGACCCCCCGCCGUACCCAUUCGAGCAUGCUCCAAUUCGCGUCCUUUCCUAUCCCCCAAUCAGAAUGAAAAAGACGCCUGUAUCCUCUUUUUGUACAUUUAAUGGUUUUGCCAAAACUAGUCCUUGUCGUUAUAGGAUUAAAUAAAAAUAAGCCAUUUGAGAUGAAUCCUUACAAAACAAGUCCCGUUUAAUUAUUUCAUUUCAAAAUGGUCCCUAUGUUGUUUUAAAAGAUCAAAACUUGUCCAUUUUUAAUUAAUUUAUCACAAACCAGUCCUUGCGUAAGACAAAUUACAAAUCAAACCCGGUUCUCUUCUACUUUAAUAAAAAUAGGCCCGAUGGUUUAUUUCAAAUUCAAGAAGGUGUAAAAUACUGCUUCUCACAACAAGUUCACGAACCGAUCCUAGAUCGAGAUCAUACAUCGAAAGUGAGUUUCUACGGCCCCUCUUUUACAUUUUUAAUUUUGGGGGAACAUGAGUGUCUAUUUAAAGUUUUGAUGAUUUUCACAUCUUAUACAUAAAAUGGCAUCAUACUUUAUUAUUGGUUAAGAGUUUAUGAAAAUAACAAUCUAAAAGGUAUAAAGCAUUCAUAAAUGUGACAUCCCCAAUUUCACGGCUAGAAAAGACCGAUUUGGUUUAUGCUUUAUUCUUAAAAUCAGAGUAAUCGUUUAAAGAAAACGGUUGCGGAAUUUGUUCCCAAAACAAAAUAUAAUAAGAAUUUAUCAAAUCAUUUCUUUAAAGAAAUGUAUUUUCAUUAAAUAACAAAAUAUCGGGAUGUCAUGUUCCGAUACAGACCAAAGCAUAAACAAUAUAAAAUAGAUCUUACAACAGUUAUUUAUAACUACUAAUCUAUAAUCCAAAAUCUGUCGUCAACUCCACCAACUUAUACUCUUGUGUCAUUACUAAUAAUACAAAAAAAACUGAGUGGGUCAGACUUGGGAGUCUGGUGAGCAUAUAGGGUUUUCAACCCACAAUAAUAUAAUUAUUAUAUUCAAUCAUCAAACAGUCAACCCAAUUACCCAUCCCCGUUAUCUUCUUUAUUGCUAAAGGUUUUACCCUAAGAAUCGACUAUCCUUCCUUCAUUCAUUCCUAAGGAUUUACCUAAGGAAUUGACACGAAGUCCAUUGCAGCCAAAGUUUAUCUAUCAGGUACUAAAUCCAUAGCUAUCAGACGCUAACUCCAUAGUCACCAAGGUUUAUGUAACAGGCGCUAACUCCAUAGUCACCAAGGUUCACUUAACUAGCGCUAACUCCAUAGUCACCAAGGUUUAUGUAACAGGCGUUAACUCCAUAGUCACCAAGGUUCACUUAACUGGUGCUAACUCCAUAGUCGUCGGGGUUUAUCUUGUUUAUUGACAGUAUUGGUUCCGAGACAUCCUCUAGCAAUACAUAUCAAUGGGUUUUUAGAGUACACCGGUGAACAUCAAGUCCACAACACCUACAAGUUGCGAGCUUGCUAGUGUUCCAUAAGAUUGUAUAGAAUAGUCUGUGGUUGUCAUCCCUACUCUACUGAAUGACGGGGGCCAUCGUUUAGGUAAAGGUUUCACAUAUUUAUCACCUGUCACCCUCAUCUCAUGAUCUAUAUCAUCUUUCGUCUCAUCCUCAAACUAAUCUUUCCUUACACACCAACAAUUUCAUCUACCCAUGUUCUACCCAACAUAUUUGUAGAUAUAAAUUACAUAUAUAGUUUAAAUCAUUUAAAUAUAUGUAUAAAACAUUCAUUUAACAACCAUCUCAAGUAAACAAACAACGUAUAAACACAUAGCGCAUAUUUCAUAGCAAAUACUUCGUAUCUAUGUGGUAGAAAAAGGUGGCUGCAGACUCAAAUGAUAAUACGAUGAUCGGGCAGCACUACGGCUCUAAGAGUAGUAUUUCUUCGGUUAAACUAGAAGAUCUUCACACACUGGGCUUCUCACAGGCAGAGCUUCGGCUCGGAAACUCUUUUCUUCUCAGGAUCUUCGGGCUUCGGGACUUGCUUUGGGUCUCGGGAUUAUACUGGGGCUUCGGGGAGUUAAAAUAGGGCUUAGAGAGAGUAUCGGGAGUGGGAGAGUAAAAGAUAAGCAACCAAACUCGGCUGACCCUUGAUUUCUAUUUAUAGGGUGAAUUUUCUGGGUUCACCUCGUGAAUUUCUAAUAUUCACCUCGUGAGCUACAUAUGCUCACCUCGUGAGCUUGAUACGUCAUUGCGUUCGUCAUGGCCACAUGCCCUGGAAGACGUCCAUCAUAUGUUCACCUCGUGAGCCACUAAUGCUCACCUCAUGAACUACAUAUGUUCACCUCAUGAGCUCUGACACAGCCUUGGGGUUCACGCCCCAAACUUCAGAAAUUCAUAACUAUUGUAUACGAGCUCCGUUUUCGACGUUUUUUAUAUCCACGCGUAGGUGAGAUUAUGCUCUACUACUCUUGUUUAGACUCUGUUGGCUAAUUUUGACUUUAUUUUUAAUAUAUUCUAAAUAUAUUAUUUUUAGUAGGUCGGGACAGGAAAACUCUGUUAUAAAUUCAUAACUUCUUCAUCUGACGUCCGUUUUCGUCUGUCUUUUUACCGUUGCACUACCAUUGACGAUAUAUUUGAUUCUCGUUUAGAUUGUUUCGGCUAAAAACCGCUUGAUCUCAAAGUCGAACUUCGAGCUGCAUACUGCUAAGCUGAAACUUAGAAAAAUCAUAACUUCCUCAUACAAAGUCAGAUUUGGACGUUCUUUUUAUGUAUACUCUCGGUUUAACGUAUUCUACAACUUUCAUUUAGAUCUCUAAGGCCAAAUAUCGCUCUAACGUAAAUUCACUAUUUACGUCGCGCUGCGUCGUGCCGGUUCUGUCGCGAAACUUCGACAAGUCAUAACUUCUUCGUUAUAACUCGGAUUUCAACGUUCUUUAUAAGUACAGAAUCCUUGUAACAUAUACUACAACUUAGUUAAGAUUAUUCAUUCUAAAUAAUCUUCUAUCAAANAUCUUCUAUCAAAAAGUCCUUUUUGACGCUUAACGUCUCUAAAUUGAGUAGCCCGGAUCUACGGGCGUUACAAUAUCUCCCCUGAAGGAUGAUUACGUCCCGGAAUCAUCAACGAAAAUAGGGCUUGUAUAAUGAUUCCCUACGUUAUCUUUCCAUCCAAGGUAUCAAUCGUAACUUCUAUGUUUCUUUGAAUGAGUAUCUAACUCUUGGACUUCUUGACUGCAGGCGAUGCUCAAUCUUUCACCUACCCUUCGUACUAUGUUGGACAUUCAAUCAUAACCUACGAGUUACAAAAUAAAUCCUUAUUGAGGACUCCUUCUUCUUCUUAGGAUAAGUACUUUCCUUUAUCUAUUGUAACAGACCGAUGGGUCAUGUUCUAAUGACCUCUCAUCAUUUGAUGCAACGCUUUGACUCAAAUCUCUUACAGUCGAAUUCUAGAAUGGAAUAUAUCUUCCUUCAUAUUCUAAUUUGAUAUAAUCACAUUUUUACACGUAGCAUUUCUAGCUACAAGCUUCCUUAACAAUAAGUGUGAUGCUAUCGAUCACAUUGAUUUCAAUCUUCUGACUUGUGUCAGAUGCUACCUCGAACUUUGUUCUAUGAACCACGUAACAAACUCAUCGUAGUCGGACUCAAUUUGAUAUGACCGCUAGGGUCAAAAUAUCAAUCAUCUUCUUAGUCACUACCGAAACAAUGGUAAAGACAUACUUGAAUAAACCGAGACCAAUCACUAGCUUCUUGGUAACCUUGUGACUUUCCCUGAUCCAAGCAUGAGUCAUGUGCUUCCAGUAGUAUAGAUCUCUACUACUAUUCACACCUACUCAUACUCGUCCCAAGUAUUGUCUCUCAGUCCCUAAGUCCUAAAAUCACAAAACAAUUUAACAUAUACGACUGUGUCCAAUUAAUCAUAAAAAAAUUUCCUAGACUCUACUAGGACUUCUUCCAUGUGUAUCUUCAAUCAUCAAUUCUACAUCAACUCGGUUAGUGAUGGAAACUCCAGACGAUGGGACAACUUCAAGAAUUGCACCAACCGUUCCAUCAUCCUGCCAAUCGAGGGUGUACUUCAGACGUACCGUACUCCUUUAAACGCACUGUUAUUUUAUCAUAUAUGAACUAAAGGCAAGAUACCACUCUUACGAUAUCUUCUGAUAGGUGUCAUUCACUAUCAUAAGCCAUUCAUUUCCUCCAUUUACUCAAUUCUCUACGAGUCUUCACCAUAACGUUUUGUACACCCAAGCAGAUGUUCAGUGUACCGGGAAAGAAUAUAGAUAGAGGAAGGUUUAGACGUGUAAUCCUCCUCAUUACUCCGAAAAAUUACAUGCCAGUUCUAAUAUCGUAAUUAAACGUUUAGAAUCCUGAGCACAUAAAAUUUCUAGAUCCGGUCUGCAACAGACCAUAGAUCCAAACAAAUAAUAACAUAUAAGGUAAACAUAUAACAUUUAGCACAUAAAAGCAUUUUAGGCAUCUUUUCUAAAAUAUACUAGUGCUCGUGUCUAAAAUAUAGUAGACACUCAUCUCACAAUCAUUUCUUAGCAUUCUAAGUUUAAGUCUAGAAAUCCUACAAAUUCCUAGUUCGCUUAAACUAAUGCUCUGAUACCAACUGUGACAUCCCCAAUUUCACGGCUAGAAGAGACCGAUUUGUUUAUGCUUUAUUUUUAAAAUCAGAGUAAUCGUUUAAAGAAAACGGUUGCGGAAUUUGUUCCCAAAACAAAAUAUAAUAAGAAUUUAUCAAAGCAUUUCUUUAAAGAAAUGUAUUUUCAUUAAAUAACAAAAUCUCGGGAUGUCAUGUUCCGAUUCAGACCAAAAGCAUAAACAAUAAAAAAUAGAUCUUACAACAGUUAUUUCUAACUACUGAUCUAUAAUCCAAAAUCUGUCGUCAAGUCCACCAACUUAUACUCUUGUGCCAUUACCUGUAAUGCAAAGAAAACUGAGUGGGUCAGGCUUGGGAGCCUGGUGAGCAUAUAGGGUUUUCAACCCACAAUAAUAUAAUUAUUAUAUUCAAUCACAAACGGUCAACCCAAUUACCCAUCCUCAUUAUCUUCUUUAUUGCUUAAGGUUUUACCCUAAGAAUCGACUAUCCUUCCUUCAUUCAUUCCUAAGGAUUUACCUAAGGAAUUGGCACGAAGUCCAUUGCUGCCAAAGUUUAUCUAUCAGGUACUCAAUCCAUAGCUAUCAGGUGCUAACUCCAUAGUCACCAAGGUUUAUGUAACAGGCGCUAACUCCAUAGUCACCAAGGUUCACUUAACUGGCGCUAACUCCAUAGUCGCCAAGGUUUAUGUAACAGGCGCUAACUCCAUAGUCACCAAGGUUCACUUAACUGGCGCUAACUCCAUAGUCGCCAAGGUUUAUGUAACAGGCGCUAACUCCAUAGUCACCAAGGUUCACUUAACUGAUGCUAACUCCAUAGUCGUCGGGGUUUAUCUUGUUUAUUGACAGUAUUGGUUCCGAGACAUCCUCUAGCAAUACAUAUCAAUGGGUUUUUAGAGUACACCGGUGAACAUCAAGUCCACAACACCUACAAGUUGCGAGCUUGCUAGUGUUCCACAAGAUUGUCUAGAAUAGUCCGUGGUUGUUAUCCCUACUCUGCUGAAUGACGGGGGGCAUCGUUUCGGUAAAGGUUUCACGCAUUUAUCACCUGUCACCCUCAUCUCCUGAUCUAUAUCAUCUUUCGUCUCAUCCUCAAACUAAUCUUUCCGCACACACCAACAAUUUCAUCUACCCAUGUUCUACCCAACAUAUUUGUAGAUAUAAAUUACAUAUAUAGUUUAAAUCAUUUAAAUAUAUGUAUAAAACAUUCAUUUAACAACCAUCUCAAGUAAACAAACAACGUAUAAACACAUAGCGCAUAUUUCAUAGCAAAUACUUCAUAUCUAUGUGGUAGAAAAAGGUGGUUGCAGACUCAAAUGAUAAUACGAUGAUUGGGCAGCACUACGACUCUAAGAGUAGUAUUUCUUCGGUGAAACUAGAAUAUCUUCACACACCGGGCUUCUCGCAGGCAGAGCUUCGGCUCGGAACCUCUUUUCUUCUCGGGAUCUUCGGGCUUCGGGACUUGCUUCGGGUCUCGGGAUUAUACCGGGGCUUUGGGGGGUUAAAAUAGGGCUUAGAGAGAGUAUCGGGAGUGGGAGAGUAAAAUAUGAGCAACCAAACUCGGCUGACCCUUGAUUUCUAUUUAUAGGGUGAAUUUUCUGGGUUCACCUCGUGAAUUUCUAAUAUUCACCUCGUGAGCUAGGCUCACCUCGUGAGCUACAUAUGCUCACCUCGUGAGCUCGAUAGGUCAUUGCGUUCGUCAUGGUCACUUGCCCUGGAAGAUGUCGAUCAUCUGUUCACCUCGUGAGCCACUAAUGCUCACCUCGUGAACUACAUAUGUUAACCUCGUGAGCUCUGACACAGCCUUGGGGUUCACGCCCCGAACUUCAGAAAUUCAUAACUAUUGUAUACGAGCUCCAUUUUCGAUGUUCUUUAUAUCCACGCGUAGGUGAGAUUAUGCUCUACUACUCUUGUUUAGACUCCGUUGGCUAAUUUUGACUUUAUUUUUAAUAUAUUCUAAAUAUAUUAUUUUUAGUAGGCCGGGACAGGAAAACUUCGUUAUAAAUUCAUAACUUCUUCAUCCGACGUCCGUUUUCGUCUGUCUUUUUACUGUUGCACUACCAUUGACGAUAUAUUUGAUUCUCGUUUAGAUUGUUUCGGCUAAAAACCGCUUGAUCUCAAAGUUGAACUUUGGGCUGCAUACUGCUAAGCUGAAACUUAGAAAAAUCAUAACUUCCUCAUACGAAGUCAGAUUUGGACGUUCUUUUUAUGUAUGCUCUUGGUUUAACGUAUUAUACAACUUUCAUUUAGAUUCCUAAGUCGAAAUAUCACUCUAACGUAAAUUCACUAUUUACGUCGCGCUGUGUAGUGUCGGUUCUGUCGCGAUACUUCGAUAGGUCAUAACUUCUUCGUUAUAACUCAGAUUUCAACGUUCUUUAUAUGUACGGAAUCCGUGUAACAUAUACUACAACUUAGUUAGGAUUAUUAAUUCUAAAUAAUCUUCUAUCAAAAAGUCCUUUUUGACGCUUAACGUCUCUAAAUUGACUAGCCCGGAUCUACGGGCGUUACAAUAAAUUAUAUAAGUUAUAGUAGAAUGCUAUAAAUGAUAAAAUUAUACAUUGUUGUGAUAUAUUAGUUAAUAUUUAUAAAAAUCACAGGAUUAUAGGUAGAUAGAUAUAAAGAUAUAAGUUAUUCGACGAAUCCUAAACUGUAAUAUUCGUCGUAUAUAUGUGCGCGAAAGUAUUGAGAAAGCAUAAAAGACAUUAUAAUCAUAACAAAAUAUGUUAUUCAAUGUAAUUGUAUACAAAGGAAAUGUAUAUUGUCUUAAACGACUAUAAACGAAGUUUUGGCAAAUACAUAUAAUAAUUAAUUGAAAAUAUAUCAAAAAUCAAUUAUUAUUUUUAUACUCUCGAUCAUAAUGUGGAAACGAUUACUAAGUAAGCGAUAAAAUUUAUUUUUAUAAUUAUUAUAAAAAUAUAAAUCAUUUUAGUUGUGAUACGAAACUCGUCAGAUAUGCUAAUAUAAUAAAUUCUCGGAUUUUCGGGGAUUAUUACCUAAUAAAUUAUAUAUCUUAUAAAUUAUGCAACUUAUCGAACAUCGACAUAAGUGAGUAUUCGGCUACGCGAACGAACAUCCUCCUUAUCGGCUGAAGUAAAGAACUACUCAAAUUAUUAUCACCACAAUAGUCGAACGUUACGUUAAUUUCACUAUUUAACUAAUUUCACUAAGCUUCGAAUAUCUUAAUAAUCUAAGAUUCGUGUUAGUGACACUAGUGAACGACGGAUUUUAUGAGUUGAAGAAUUGUCGUCAUGGAUUUUGCGGAUUAUGUAUCCUGUGUGUGCUUGUGAGAGGAAUGUAUCAAAAGGGGUGAAAGAGAGAGUUUUAUGAUGGUGUGUUUUUCCUUCGUAAGGAUCAAAUCCUGGAAUUGACACCUAGCUCUAUAACCGUUAAUCCAGGAGGGAUCAUAUACUGUAGGUCUAUGUACACGGCAUAGAUUUAUAAUAAAGAACUUUGGUGUAGAUCUAUUUCUUAUGGAAAGAUUUAUGCGAAUCCUUAUUUUCCGUUUGUGGUUGCUAGCUACAACUUCGUCUGACGAGGCAACAUGUGUCAAGUGUUUCUUUCUUUGUUACUAUACGACUGCUUUUAAACGUUAGUAAUGAUUUCGAUUCCUACACUUUUAUUUAUAUUGUGCCUGUGUGGCUUGUUUAUUGUGCCUAUGUGGCUUGUGGAGGAGCGACGAAUAGUGUCGGUUAUAGACAAAUUGUUAUAUUGAAGAUUUUUAUUCGAAGAAGUACAGGUGUAGAUUGAGUCAAUCCUCCCAAUUUGGGUCGAGUGUGUAAGAGUGUUUAGACUGUUUACUACCUCUCCCUACGACAUACGUUACCGGUUAUUGAAAAGUAUUUUGGGAUGAGUUUGCUCUACUGGUUAAGUGCCGAUUUCCAAAUUAAGUAAUAUAAUACAUAAUUAAUAAUACAACACAUAUAUACAAAGUUUAUAAAAUUUGAAACUUAUGAGUUUUACAUAUAAACUAUACGAACGUUUGUACAAAGUUUUAAGAGUAAAUUUGGCAGUUUUAUGUUUUCACAAAGUGUGAUAUGACUUUAUAAAUUGGUAUUCAAAAUCUUUAUAUAAAAAACAUUUUGGUCAUAAGAACUGCAAGAAGUUGUUAUAAGUUUGUUUUACUUAUAUAUUUUACAAAUGGUGUAUUUUUGGAUUUGAGCAAAUGACAUUUCUAAAUGAGUUUAAAUAUACUUUUAUGACUCAAUUAUUUUAUAGUUUCCAUAGAAAAAUACGUAAAAAACAUUUUGGUCAUAAGAACCGCAAGAAGUUUUAAUUAGUUUGUUUUACUUAUAUAUUUUACAAAUGGUGUAUUUUUGGAUUUGAGCAAACGACAUUUCUAAAUGAGUUUAAAUAUACUUUUAUGACUCAAUUAUUUUAUAAUUUCCAUAGAAAAAUACGUGUUAUAAAAGCUGGUCAACCAUAUAAAUUUUAUAAAACAUUUUUCGGUAUAAAAAUACUUUGUGUCAAAACCUGUAAAACUCACCAACAAUUUUGUUAAUGUAUUUUAAUGCAUGUAUUCUUAGGUUAUUUAUAAGGUUGGAAGAGUUUGUAUAGAAGAUCCUCCGAUAUUCUUAUCAUACAAUUGCGAACGCCAUAUCGUUAAGUGUGUGUAGUAUUUCAGCAAUAGUCUUGUCAAUGUAAUUUCUUUUCGGUAAUAAUAAAAGAUUAUAUUUGUACUGUUCAAUGUAUGUUCAAUAACUGUGAUUACUGGUUUACGUCGCGCACCUCGGCGUUUCGGCCGUCGGCCGAGGGUGUGACAUUUUUGCUCUACAUUUGUGUAUUUUUUAUGAUUAUUCAUCAAUUUCAUUAAGAUAUUUUUGCAAAUCUAAUAUGAAAAUGGUGUUAUUUAUAAGUAAACAUGACUGCAGGAGGCUUACAAUCCACAACAAUUAUGUUUAGA
rnacentral:lncRNA from 1 species